UACGAAGGGGGCUAGCGUUGUUCGGAAUUACUGGGCGUAAAGCGCACGUAGGCGGAUUUGUAAGUCAGGGGUGAAAUCCCGGGGCUCAACCUCGGAACUGCCUUUGAUACUGCAAGUCUCGAGUCCGAUAGAGGUGAGUGGAAUUCCUAGUGUAGAGGUGAAAUUCGUAGAUAUUAGGAAGAACACCAGUGGCGAAGGCGGCUCACUGGAUCGGUACUGACGCUGAGGUGCGAAAAGCGUGGGGAGCGAACGAG
rnacentral:rRNA from 1 species